rnacentral:rRNA from 1 species
UGAACGCUGGCGGUAUGCUUAACACAUGCAAGUCGAACGGAAACGAUACUAGCUUGCUAGUAGGCGUCGAGUGGCGGACGGGUGAGUAACGCGUAGGAAUCUGCCUGAUAGUGGGGGAUAGCCCGAAGAAAUUCGGAUUAAUACCGCAUAAUCUAUUUGUAGUAAAGUGGGGGACUUUCGAGCCUCACGCUAUCAGAUGAGCCUGCGUAAGAUUAGCUUGUUGGUAGGGUAAAAGCCUACCAAGGCAACGAUCUUUAGCUGGUCUGAGAGGAUGAUCAGCCACAUCGGGACUGAGACACGGCCCGAACUCCUACGGGAGGCAGCAGUGGGGAAUAUUGGACAAUGGGAGCAACCCUGAUCCAGCAAUACCGCGUGUGUGAAGAAGGCCUGAGGGUUGUAAAGCACUUUCAAUUGUGAAGAAAAGUUAACGGUUAAUAACCGUUAGCCUUGACGUUAACUUUAGAAGAAGCACCGGCUAACUCCGUGCCAGCAGCCGCGGUAAUACGGAGGGUGCAAGCGUUAAUCGGAAUUACUGGGCGUAAAGCGUGCGUAGGCGGUUUAUUAAGUCAGAUGUGAAAGCCCCGGGCUUAACCUGGGAACUGCAUUUGAAACUGGUCAACUAGAGUAUGGUAGAGGAAAGUGGAAUUUCUGGUGUAGCGGUGAAAUGCGUAGAUAUCAGAAGGAACAUCAAUGGCGAAAGGCAGCUUUCUGGACCAAUACUGACGCUGAGGUACGAAAGCGUGGGUAGCAAACAGGAUUAGAUACCCUGGUAGUCCACGCCGUAAACGAUGAUAACUAGCCGUUGGGGGGAUUUACCCUUUAGUGGCGAAGCUAACGCGUUAAGUUAUCCGCCUGGGGAGUACGGCCGCAAGGUUAAAACUCAAAGGAAUUGACGGGGACCCGCACAAGCGGUGGAGCAUGUGGUUUAAUUCGAUGCAACGCGAAGAACCUUACCUGGUCUUGACAUCCUGCGAACUUUCUAGAAAUAGAUUGGUGCCUUCGGGAACGCAGUGACAGGUGCUGCAUGGCUGUCGUCAGCUCGUGUCGUGAGAUGUUGGGUUAAGUCCCGUAACGAGCGCAACCCCUAUCCUUAUUUGCCAGCACGUCAUGGUGGGAACUAUAAGGAGACUGCCGGUGAUAAACCGGAGGAAGGCGGGGACGACGUCAAGUCAUCAUGGCCCUUACGACCAGGGCUACACACGUGCUACAAUGGGAAGGACAAAGAGCCGCGAAGCCGCGAGGUGUAGCUAAUCUCAGAAAUCUUUUCGUAGUCCGGAUUGGAGUCUGCAACUCGACUCCAUGAAGUCGGAAUCGCUAGUAAUCGUAGAUCAGAAUGCUACGGUGAAUACGUUCCCGGGUCUUGUACACACUGCCC